rnacentral:rRNA from 1 species
GAUGAACGCUAGCGGCAGGCCUAAUACAUGCAAGCCGAACGGCAAGAUUGAUAGCAAUCUUGGCCCUAGAGUGGCGCAAGGGUGCGUAACACGUAUGCAACCUGCCCGCGACAGGAGGAUAGCACCCCGAAAGGGGAAUUAACCCUCCAUAACACCAUGAGAAGGCAUCUGAUUAUGGUUAAACCGCAAGGGGUCGCGGAUGGGCAUGCGGUUGAUUAGCUAGUUGGCGGGGUAAAGGCCCACCAAGGCGGUGAUCAAUAGGGGUUCUGAGAGGAAGGUCCCCCGCACUGGCACUGAGACACGGGCCAGACUCCUACGGGAGGCAGCAGUAGGGAAUAUUGGACAAUGGUUGCAAGACUGCUCCAGCCAUGCCGCGUGCAGGAAGAAGGCCUUCUGGGUCGUAAACUGCUUGUUCCUGUGGAUAAAAUACCCGUGCGCGGGGAAUUGAAGGUAACAGGGGAAUAAGCCACGGCUAACUACGUG